UCUUUUUAUUAUUUGAGUAAAGUAUAAAUGCGAGUAGAAACACUUAGCUGGAUAAAUGGGGGUGCUUUCCCCCAAGCUGGAUUUUGACGUAAUUUCUUCUGAUGUAGCUAGCAGGUGGCGGAGGUGUAUUUGAAUGUCGGCAGUACCCUGAUAGCGAUUAGGAUGUCCUCCGUCUGCUAGUCUUCUUUGAUCCUUAAAUUCUGUGGAGCUCAAAUAGACAACAAAGCUUUGUGGAACUGGUUAAGUGUUAGCAUAAAAAUAUCUUUGCCUUUAUCAUGUUGAGCUUUCUCUAAUAAAUAUUACUCUCUUUGGUAGGAUCAUAAAUUUAUUUAUAUUUUCAUUUCUAUAGGACAGGAAUAUAUUUAUUUUGUUUUUACGCUACCACAGUGAAUGUACUUAUGGCUUUUAUGCCACGAGCAUACUCACAUGGGGCUUACUGUUUUUAACAUUUUUAUUUUAUUUUCAAGAUAGCAUGAUUAACUAACAAGCCAUUUAAGGAAAGUAAAUAAUUAAAGGGAAAAGGGAAUGUAGAAAGGAUAAAUAUGGAUAAUUACCGAUUUUAGCUUUCGGCGAGGGUUCAAUGUUUUAAGUCUUCUGAACAAGACUUCUCACUGUGUUCAUUCUUUAGGUGUGUCAUUUGGUUCAGGUGUGGACCUUGACGUCUGCACCUCUUGAUACUGUGUCACCCAUGUUCUUUGUUUGCCCAGCAGUUCAAAGUGCGGCGUUGGCAGUACCUUGCUCAAUGUGUUUGUGCUUGUAGAUCCAGGUCCUUCACUUGGUAGAGUCUGGGAGUUGAAAAAUCCCCCGUGUUUCUCAAAAUGUGUCCUGUUCAUAGAGACAAGGUAGAGAUCAAGUGCAUGGGUCAUGUUGGUGGAAAACACCAACAGAACCAAAAGUAUAUUUGUUCUUCUCUAACCUUAAGCAUAGUGAGCAAGACAAAUUUGAUAGAUAAUAAGAUCAUGAGUGUAGUAUUUAAAACAUUUGUCAGAUCAGAUCGCUCAACCUAAUGGAAAGAUAAUCUAUCUAUAUUUAUGUUUUUUUAUAUAUCUUCCAAAGAUUGAGUGUGCAGCAUUUUAGCUCAUAUGAUUAGGAGUGUGGGAUCAUGGAGGUAGUACUAGGAACAUAGACUAAAGGACUAAACAUGUUGAAUCAGUUGGGUUGGUUAAUUUGGAUUUAUAAAUCAUACAUGUUUGUCUCUUUAUGUGAACGCCAGAACCAAGGAGAAGCUUAUAAAAGUGAUAGUCAAGUACCUUAAGAUGUUACCUUACUUGAAGAGUGAUGGUACAUUAUCACCUUGUGGAAGCUUCCUGUCUUUGCAGUUGUGCAUCAAGUUCGUGGCACCCUCCAUGGAUCAUCUCUUAUGAGCUACGUCUUCCUUGUGUAAAUUGUUAAACUUGAUGUGUCUCUCUUUUUGUCUCCAAUGUGAGUUUAUCUCAGGACUUCCCAAAUCGAUAUUGAAAGUUUUUCUGGAGGGGUUAGUCCAACAAAAUAUACCAAUGUCUACACAAGCAGUUUUUUAGUUCAGUAACCAAACUAGACUCCAUGUCUAAUCAGAUUAAGGAAGGCUAUUUAACCUAAGCACCACGCUUAAUUUAAAUGCCAAUGGAAGUAUGUCGAGUACUUCCAAACCAACACUUACUUGUGAGUAGACAAAGGUAGCAUGACAACAUUAUAGAGAUCUACUCAAGUGGAGAUGAAAAUAGAAUGAUUAGCGUCUAACAAAUUGAGCAUGUCUCAAAGGUAGGGACAACCAACAUAGCAAUAUGACAAAGGAUGUUUUUAUGUAAGGUACUCCCCCAAGCUUAAAUUUUGCAAAAUUCAAGUUUGGAUGAAUUUAAUUCAGUGUUGCAUAAUGAUUGGUCGGACAUACCUUGUGCUUGUCGUUCAUCCGAUCUUCUUGCUCCAAUCCUGUAAAGGUUAGUGACAAGAAUACCCGAAGGAAUAUUUUCACAAUUAUCGUUAUACGCUCAAUGCACAAGGCAAUAUGGCAAGGUCGUGUUACGAUCUGAUAAGCGCUUAUUUUAGGACACUAAGCUUGUCCUUGGGAACCCAUCAGUUUAUGUUGGCGAAGUGGUUUCCCCUCCGAUGCCAACCUUUGUAUAUUAAGAUUAGCUCAACGAGAUCUGCAAUAUUUAUUAUAGACAUAUGCAUCGACAACCGCCCUUUUAAAGUUUUGUAAAUAGAAAAGAAGAGGGGGUUGGAGAUGUCAAAUGUGGUGAUGUUGGAGAGACCAAUAGAUUGGGAAGAUGUUGCAUAUGAGCAUGGAGUAAACGAAGUGGCUAUGAAAUAAAUUCCAUGCUCAUUAAUAUUAUCUUCGUCUCCAAUCUGAAUGUUCGGAGUUUCUCCUGGAUUGGUCUCACCUAUGUCCUCCUCUAUAGUUGGAUGAAUCUCAUCUUCAAAGGGAGUCAAGAACUCACCAUUUGAAAUUGAGCCAAAGUCAGAAUCCGUUAAGGCUUCUUCCUUAUCCAUCCAUUCUACACAUUCGAGCCAUUUAGAACUUGUGAUCAAGACAGGGGAGCUGAUAGAACCUUCUAUAUGGCUUAGCUCUCCUUCUAUGGCAUUACUUGACAUGUCAUCCUCAUGGUCUUUAUGACUCCUAUGGUUUGAUCGUCUUGAUGGAUUGUUAGGAUCAUCAUGAGACUUAAAAGGAGAGGGAUAAGAGGGGUCUCUAAGGUCAAGGAUGGAUUUAGAAUUUGUGAACAUGGAAGGGGAGCAGAUAGAAUCUUCUAUAUGGUUUAGCUCUCCUUCACUUGAUAUGUCAUCCUUGACUUCUUCAUAACAGGAACCAGGACAUUCUCUAAGAGAACCAUUAUUGCAAGGAUUUGAAUUAUCCCUGCUUGAAGGUCUCUUAUGGAACCAGAAGUCUAAACCAUCAGCAUCUGAAAGAUUUAAGGUCGGAAUUCCUUCCUCCCUUGGAGAAUUUUGGGGUAUUGAUGGUUUAGGAUCAAUAGCUAAAGUUUGGAAUUGAAGUGGUUGUGAUCUGGCCAUCGAAACUUCUUCUUCUUGUCUAGGAACUGGUUCUUUCUCUUUCUUAGGGAUAUAAAUGCUAGGAAACUUUCCACUCAAUGAAUCAAUUAAAUCUCUAGCUUCACUAGCAGGUAGGUGAUAGAAGGAUCCUCUAGAGGCUAUAUUCAAGGUUUCCUUAUUUUCCCUACUAAGAGCAUCUCCAAUAGUUAUGAAUAUGACUUGCCAUCCUUCAAAAUUUGGCAAAAGUAGAGAAAAUCAAUAUCCAAUAGUUUGCCAAAGGGACUUGCCAAAAUUGUGAGUUUGCCAAAUCGUGGUGCCGCGCGCGUAUAGUUGCGCACGCGAAUCAAAGUUGCCAUCGCGAGUCUGCGGCCGCGUUUUCUUCUCCCGCGCGGUGACUGAAAAAUCCGAUCGUGUUCCCGCUUGAGUCCGCGCCUCCGUCAAUAUACUGCAUCCGUCGCCGCGGAUCACUCCGUCUCUCCCUCGCCCCAGUCCGGUUCGUUGUCGUGCCCAGGUCCGCUUCGGUGUCGCGCCCAGGUCUCCAUCGACCAAGUCGAGUGAUCCGUCGUCGCGCACAGGUCUCCGUCGCCCAAGUCCGGUGAUCCGUCGUCGUGCCCAAGUCUGCUCGGACGUCGCGCGCAAGUCCGCUAGUUCGUCGCGCCCAAGUCCAGUUCAUCGUAGACCUGGACGUGAUUUCGCGCGCUACCUUCCUCGACGACGCGAGCUGGUGUUGAGGUUCGUGCCCCCUCUUGAACCUAGGGUUUCAACCAUGUUGUUCUUGUGAUAGUUUGAUCGGAUAGGGUUCAGUAAUAUAUGUAUAUAGUUCCCUUGAUCGGAUAGGGUUUCUGAUCUUGUGAUUGUUAUAUACUUUAUCUGGGUGGAUGACAAUUGUUUACUACAUACAUGAUACCUGAGUAUUGACUAUUGAGUCAGCAGUACAUACCAAAACAGAUUACCGCUGCUUUCAAUUACCUGAGUAUUGAGUAUAGAUUAGUUGCCUGCCAAUGAUGCUUGCUUAUGAUUGAUUGUAUAUUGUUUAUAUGUUCGAUGUUGUUUGCUGAUGGUCGAUCAUACAGUAUGUUGCUGCUCAAUAUAUCUUUUCAAUUAUAUUGUUUACAUUUGUUUAGACUGAUGGAGAUGGAUGGAGAAGGUUUCUUGUCGGGCAUUCUUAUGAGUGGGCAAGACGGCCAUGUUGCUGGUUUGGACGACCUCACCUUUCCAAUCUCUCCAGAUACAAAUACACAGUCUAGUCCAGAUGUUGAUGUUGAAGUUGUGCCUCCAAGUCGUGCUAGCAAGGGUAACAAGGGUACUAGGCGGUCCAAGAAUUUUCAUUUCAAGGAAGAUGAAGUUGUUUGUUCAGCCUGGUUGAACGCUAGUAAAGACUCCCUCCACGGGGCCAACCAAAAUCGUAACACUUUUUGGGGUCGAGUUCAUGCUUUUUUUGAGAAGAACAAAAAAACUAAUAUUGUGCGGACAGAGAGUUCGAUUAUGCAUCGAUGGUUCACAAUUCAGCAUCAAGUGAACAAAUUUUGUGGAUGCUAUGAGGCAAUUAAACGCAGGCAUCAAAGCGGACAUACUGUCACAGACAUGGUAAGUGUCAUGUUUUUAAUCCUUUACCAUAAUUUUUUUAUUUGAGACUGAUACAUAAAAUGCUACGUUGUUCUAUAGAUUUCAGAAGCAAUGAAGCUGUACAUAGAUGAAGACAAGGACAAAAAGAAAUUCACUCUUAUGCCUUGUUGGAACAUACUAAAGGGGGAGGACAAGUGGGCAGCCCGGAUGGUAGAGAUUGCUGAGGUAGAGAAACUGGAAAAAGCCAAAAAGAAUCAAAAGGCGACAAAAGUGUCAAGGCCAAGGGAUGAAGAAGGCACCAACACUGAAAAAGCAGUCACAGAUGAUGUUGGGGAAGAAACAUAAGCUAGAAAAAGGUCAGAUGGAAUUAAGAAGGUCAAAGCAAAUCUUAGGGGAGGGAGUGGAGAAGCAUGCAUGGAGGUGAUAGAGAAGAUGUGGGCAAAGAAGGAGGAGUCUGAUAAGGAAAAAGAAAAGGCAAGACAUGAGAGGUUUGUGGCUGCACUAGACGUAGACAAGGAAGCUCUAGCGCUAGAGAAAAUAAGAGCUGAUGCUGAUCUCAAGAGAGCUGACGCAGAACAGAAGAGAGCUGAAGCGGAGUUGCUGAAACAAGAGAAAGAUAUUAUGUUGGCGAGCAACAAUGACCUAAACUCGGCGCAGCUUCAAUGGCUUCAGAUGAUGCAGAACGAGAUUUUUGCAAAGCGCCUUGGAAAUCAAGUGUAGUGGACGGCAAAUCAAGUUUAAUGUUCCUGUCAUUUUAGAUAAUGCAUUUUUAAAGUUUUUUAACGAACAAAGUUACUGUCAUUUUAGUUCUUUAUCAAAUCAACAUUUAUUUUACUUUAUUCGUCAAACAAUGUUACUUGCAUGGUACUGUAGUUGGAGCGCAUGAACAAAACAAGGUCUUUGGUUUCUGUGCUUUACUUUAUUCUAUCAAUCAUCUCUAAAUGUUCCUAGAACUUGUAUCUAUUUCGCUAGACUUUUUUUAUUCAGUCAGCCAGUGCAGGUCUAAAGGUUUUUUUAUUCUGUGCUCUGCUUCUAUCGAUCGACAGUAGGCUACAGUGCCAUGCAUGAUGACGUCGAUCAUGAAUAAAAAUGUAUAGAUAAUACAAAUGUGUUUAUUACAUAAAGUAUAUGAAAUAUGAUUUCAUAUAUUGUAGGAGUAUAAAUCUGGAUGAUUGUUCCACAGGUGUUCGAUAAGAUCUUCCUUCAAGUGCACAUGUGUGGACUUGUCUCUGAUCUGUCUAUGCGCUUCAAUGUAUUCUUCAAGUGUACGAUGGGGUUGACCACGAUCAGGCUCGACAUUGUCACCACUGUAAUCAAAACGCUCGUUUGGGUCGACCACAAAUCCUUCAUCUUCUACAAUCAUGUUGUGCAUGAUGAUAGAAUCCCUCAUGAUUAGUGCCAAAGUCUCACUGUCCCAAGGGCGUGCGGGUCCUCGAAUAAUGGCGAAUCUUGAUUGAAGAACCCCAAAAGCUCUCUCGACCAUCUUCCUCGCUGCUUCUUGCGCUUUGGCAAAAUAUUGCCUCUUGUUCCCCAUAGGUAGAGUGAUGGACUUGACUAAAGUAGCCCAUGAGGGGUAUAUACCAUCUGCAAGGUAAUAACCCAUUGUGUAGUCAUGGCCGUUAACGGAAAACUUGACUUCUGGAGCUUUACCUUUGGCCAAGUUAUCAAACAAGGGAGAUCUAUCAAGAACAUUGAUGUCAUUGUGAGACCCGGGCAUUCCAAAGAAGGCAUGCCAUAUCCAAAGGUCUUCAGAAGCAACAGCCUCUAAAAUGAUUGUGGGCUUGUCACAAUGCCCCUUGAACUGACCCUGUUUGUCAUAUGGACAGUUCUUCCACGUCCAAUGCAUACAAUCAAUAGACCCUAGCAUUCCUGGAAAUCCCUUUUUCUCACCCAUUGCAAGUAAGCGUGCUAUGUCCGCCUCAUUUGGAUACCUGAGGUAUUCAUCACCAAAAACUUCAAUAACUGCCCGAACAAACUUACGCAGGCUCUCAAGUGCAGUACUUUCGCCAAUGCGAACGUACUCAUCUGUCGCAUCAGCUGGAACCCCAUAGGUGAGCAUACGCAUUGCGGCAGUGACUUUUUGGAAGCAACUCAACCCAAGAACAUUGGCUGCAUUUCUUUUCUGAACAAAAUAAUCAUCAUGCUCUUCUACAGCAUUCAUUAUGCGUUUGAAAAGCUCCCUAGACAUCCUGUACCUGAAGAAGACAACUUAAGAUUAAUAACUAAAAUAAAUUUUUAGCAUGUGAAACAAAUUCAUGCAAAUUUAAGAUCAAUAACCUUCGACGGAACAUUUCAGAGGUGUAUGUUGGAUUGUCCGAUAAAUAAUCUUGGUACAUCCUGUUGUGGCCGCCCUCUCUAUCACGGUACAAAACUCUAUGACCUUUGACAGAUCCACCAUGUCUUCCUUUUUCAUUGGAGAAGCUUUGCACAAUUUGAGCAGUCGCUAAUAUUUGGGAUUCAUCGUCAUCGGAUGAUGACUCCUCCAAUACUCUUCGCGCACAGGAUCUUUUCCUAGGCAUGAGAUUCCUGAUCACGAGUACAGAGGAUGAAGAACAAAACCUAGAUUAUCUAAACCCUAGACUGCUGAUGGUCGAGAGGGGCAAGGAGAUGGAGUAUUGGCAGCGUACCUCACCUGCGAUGGAAGAUUACAAAGGGCAAGGACGAUCCUGUCGUAGGCCGCGACACGAUCACAGUCGCAUACGGGCACCUGCGAUGGUCGAUGGAGUCUUGGCGGCGUACGACUGCAGUAGCGGACGGAAACCACGAUCACGCGAUGAAGAUAAGGACACGUCGGUGGAGUACCGGUCAACAACCGGACCUGCUGGGCCCUCCUCUUUUUUUUGAUUUGGCAACUAAAAAUAGGGAAUUGUUGGAGAUGACCUCUUUUGAACUUGGUAAAUUAUUAUAGCAACUUGCUAAAAGACAACAUUUGGCAAUUCACAUAUUCAUAACUGUUGGAGAUGCUCUAAGGCCCUCAAAAAAGUGAAUUAGAAGAACUUCUUCUGGAAUAGAAAGCUUUGGGCCAGUGAGAGUAAGGUUAAUAAAGCGGUCCCAUGAUUUGCCAAGAGAUUCUUCUUCCAGUUGUCUAAAUAAAAUAAUCUCACGCCGAAGUUCCACCACUUUGGAGAUUGGAAAAUAUUUUAAAAGAAAACUAUUAUAUAACUCCUUCCAAUCUCCAUGAACACUCCCUACUUUGAGUUUGUACCAAUGUCUAGCUUUUCCUGUUAAAGAGAACGGAAAGAGCUUCCAUUUAAGGGUCUCAUCGGACAUGCCUUCUAUGCGAAGGAGGUCACAGACUCGAUAAAACUCUCUUAGGUGUGUAAGGGUUUUCUUCACCUUCUCCUGAGAAAGGUUGUUUUUGAACAAAUUCUAUGUAUUCCGGGUCUAUCUCAAAACUAGAUGCUAUGGUAGGCUUUGAAGAUUUUGGUGGUUCGAGAUGUGUGCCCGUAGGUCUAUGAAAUUUAUAGAUAGACAUGUUUGAAUUCAUGAUAGACUAGAGAUCAAGGAUUAGAUAAGAAGAAAGAAUAGCAGAGAUAAGGUAAAAGAUAAAAGGAAAAAUAUAUUUUAUUUUUUUAUAUUUUUUAUAUUAUUUUUUAGAAAAUGAUUAAGCUAGUUCGUAGUCAACUCAGCAACCGUUUCCCCGGCAACGGCGCCAAAAAUGCUUGUUGACACUUGCUAACACCACUUGAAUACUAGGUUGUCAUCCCCAGCAUGGCACUAGAGUGUACUUUAUACGCACACAGAUAAAUCCGCAAGCGCACGGAUACCGUUGUAGCUUUUACCCGGUUAAAGGUUUUAUCGUAUCCAUGGGGAAACGGGAGAACUGAUCUAUGCUCUAACUUAACCUAGAUAGAUAGGUAGGUGUAAAUAGGAAAGAUGGUAGAAUUGAAUAAGAACAAUAUUAAAGGUAUGAUUACAAUGGGUGAUAAUAUGGGAAUAGAGAGUAGAGCAAUCUAGUAUAUGGGCGAUGGUAGGAGAAUAGAGAGGAUAACUAUGGUUUCUCUACUUCAAAGGGGUAUGUCUAUGUCUGGGACGAACCACGUGACAAGAAUACACCACAAAUGAUGCUUAUCCAUAGGCCGAUAAACUCUACCAGUCCUGCUAACAGGAGGUGGACUAUAGGGGACCAACGUAACUGUCACCUACGCGGCCUACCACACGAUCCGGCUAGACAGGGGAUAUCCACAAGUAAUGUAGGCCUAAGCACCAUGCUUACACCUAUACUACAACCCUCACCUAUAGUGUCCUAUAGAUUAAAGUACUCAAAAGAGUUGUGAACCAGAACAUACAUGGAUAGUAAUUGCAUAAUGAAAUAGAAGUAGAUUACCAGAGUCAUCCCAUGAGCAAGCUUGAUUAGAGCUUGAUCAUCGCGAAGUACAACCGGAGAAGAACCGACAGGCCGGCCUCUCCUCCAAUCCUCCCUCGCUCUCCGUCUCACUACUAUCUAGAUCUACUCUAGUUUAGAGAAGAGAGGAGAGCUCUCAUCUCCAAACCCUAGCUUUUUCUCUGUCUAUGAAUAAUGAAUAGGGAUCAAGGGGUGCCUCCUCUAGGGGCCAGGGGCCUGCUUAUAUAGUCCCCUCAAGUGAAUCUGGGCCGUCGGAUCAAACCGACAUUGAUUGAACGGUUCUCCUUGAUCCUUUAGGUCGGUGGAGCAUAAUCCGCGAGACGGAGCGUGAUUGGUGGACUAAGUAGGGCGGGCGCCCUAAGGGGUAGGGCGACGCCCUGUCCCCGAGCCUGCUCGGCUUCCCAUUCGUUCCCGUGGCUUCUGGAGUCUUCUAGAUGAUAGAAAAUUGCACGACACGUUAAUAUCUCUAUGUAAACCCGACGUGUGGGCCUUUCCUCCAUAUUUCCUGAUAACCCCCUGCAGAAAUAGACAAACACCAAAACUCGUGGAAUUCUGUCUGAUAAAACCCUAAGUCUGGGUGUUGGUUGUAUUUGGAUCCUUUUCUUUAUUUAUUUGAUGAUUAUAUUUGGUACUUAAGGACCGUCAACAGUAUCUAAGUUAUAAUUUAGUGUUCAUCAAGAUUUAAGUUUGUUGGCUAAAAAUGUCUCAUUCUGAGAACUUGAAAUCUUGUGGGUUGCAAAUGCAUGAUCCUUUUCUAAAUUGUUGCGAGACAUGAUAUGGUAUAAAUAGAUUUUGCUAUGACUUUGUUCUAAGAGAAACUUGACAUCCGGAGUUUUCUUUUCAAAAAUUCAAAACAAAGAGUUCCUCAAAGAUUAUGAAAUACCUACCAAGGUCGUAUGACUUGCUUAGUAGUUUGUACACCUUUAGUCCUUUGCGGCUUGCGAUGCUUUGAGUUGAGUCAAAUCCCAGGUAUGCUAGAUUGAGAUUAUGGUCAUGCACCCAUGAUAUGAGAUUCACGCACCCACCAAAUAAAGCCGACUCUUACACUAAGAAGUUGCGCACAACAUGCACCCUUCCAUCCACCAAAAAUAUGCCAACUCUUACCCUGAGAGUUGCGCCUUAGCUUCCACCAAAUAAGUAUGCCAAACUCUCACCCUAAGGUUUGCGCAUCCCCAUAUACAAUUUUACUCCUUACAUCACCAUCAUGACAUCUCUCCAUUUUCCUCUUUGAGAUCCCUUUGAAACAUGUGGGCAUCAGUUAUCCAUGAAAAAAAAUAUGAAGGAAAAGCCAAAGGGCAUGGACGGGAAAAUCAAAAUCCCCGUCAGAAAAAAAAUAUAUAUGAUCCAUUUUUUAGGGCCCAUAUGUUUACAUUCUCUCAUUCUCUUCCUCAAAUAAAGAGAGUCAUGAUACAAGGAGUAACCAAAAAUAUUUAGAUAGGACUACCACCAAAAGUUCCACACACUUGCACAUCUCAAUCAAGGUGUAUGACUUGUACCUCCUCAUGGUCCGGGCUUUGACUUGGCAACACAAGCGUCGUAAGUACGCCCACCUUUAUACCUUCCCAAAGCUCCAUUCUCAGCCUUAGUGGUAGGUCUUAAAGGCAAACACAAAUGCCUUUGGUGAGGAUUUCAUACACAUUGAGCGAUCGAGAGAAUCAUUCGAGGAACAUAUUUAUUUUGUAAAAAAUUAUAAAACCUCUAGAUUGAUGGUCUAUCAAGGGAUGAAUGAAUGGUGAGUUUGUUACAACCAUUCUAUCUUGCAACCACCCAAGAACUUGGAAAAGCUAUAAGCCCCAUGAGAAGUCAAGGUAAAGAGUGGAUAGCAUGCCAACUUAUUUAAAUUGCGAAUGAAUGCUUUGUUAUAGGUAUGAUACUCUUGAAUUAUAUCGACAUAGUAGCAACUCCUGAUCAACAGCCAUACUUAAUUAUUUGCUCGAGACGAGCAAAGGUUAAGCUUGGGGGACUUGUUGGCAGUCAUUAUAGACCAAUUAUAAACUACCAACUUGAUCCAAAAGGAGAAGAAACAAUCAUAUUAUAUACACACAUGCAUUUUAUUACUAACAAGUUCCACUUGUACCAUAGUGAUUAUAUUUUGCAAGAAUUAUAGUGCAACAAGUGAAAAUGUGCCAUACCACGAAGAAAGCGCAAAGUACCAAAAGGCGUAUUCAGAAAUGCGCAAACCAAGAAAAUAGAGAAAGGCCCAAACAACGCAGAACUGGGCCUGAUCGUAAUCACGGGAGAGAUCCAGGCCGAGAGCCAAACCAACCAUGUGAAGGCGGUGGCCAGGGGGACCCACCCAGGGUGCGGCCGCACCCCUGGAGGCGGCAAACCGAGCCCAUCUUUCUCAGGCGGUUGCAUGCUGCCAUGCAUAGGACGGUUUCACCUACUACCAAAUUUAGAUGCGACGAACCGUCCUAGUUCUACUAGAGAAAGAGAGGCACUCCCCCCCUUUUCAACACACACAUCAUUUGGAGUCAAUUUACCUCACACCUCUCACUUGUAUCUUUAGUCUAGAUUAGUAGUAGAGCAAGGCAAGAGCUAGUAAGGAGAGCUUGUCUCCUUGGAAGAAAGGAUCUUCUUGGUAUGAAUAAUAUUCAAUCUUCUUCCAUGAGCAAGUUCUAUUCAUCUUUAUAUAAUUAUGCAUAUGAACUAGAGUACGGUUGUGUUCUUAUCAUGUUCAUAGUAUAUGAACUAGUUCUUAGUUCUUGUGCUAUGUUCUUGAUAUGUUCAUCAUUGUUCUUCAUUGUUCAUCAGAUUAAUAUGAUUAGGAUUAGAAUUAGGAAUUGGAUGAUGGUUCACUGUGCUGUGAUGGUUGCUCUUAGCCUAGCCUGUCAUUUCGAAGGGGUGGGGCCCGCGGGGGUUAGGAGUUGUUUCCAAUUACAUGAACAUGGUGUUCAGGUAUGCGGGAAUCAGUGGAUGUGCGGGUAUCUUUCGGGUAGAGGGGUAGGUGGCAGGGUAGUGACAGCUCUGUCAUCAUUUGCAUUCCCCCACGAUCAGGUAUUUCGAUAGGAGUUCUGUAAAGUCUCUAUCGGCUGGGUAUCCAGCUGCGGGGAUCUCCCCUCAUCUUAGGCUUAGUUCUAACUCUAUUUAUUGCUAAUUAGAUGAUCCACUAACAGUUCUAUGCAUAGUUAUAUGUGACCCAUGCCUGCUCAAGUAGAUUUAUUUCUUUAUUCUUUAUUUAUUAUUUCUCUUCUAUUUUAUCCUUGAGGUUGAUCCAAUGUGUGUCCACUAUCUUGAAUAUCAUGUUUAUUCCUCUUUACUCAAUGUCUACCAAGCAUUCAAUAAGUAAUCAUGUUUACACCAUGUUUGAUCCCUUUGCCUUCCUACGGGAAUUAUAAAUUCGACACCCUUGAAUACUCAUGGGUUGAAAUGCUACAAUGAUAGUUCUGUCCGCUUGCAGUUAUAUUACUUCUUCAUUCAUGAACUAUCGAUUGGCAUACCUAAGUACCGUUACUUAAGAUUGUAAUCCUUGCGCACUUUCAAGCGUAGUGCCACAGCUUUGCAUAUCGCAAGUAAGGAUAGUUAGGAUGACCAAUCCGACAUUCCUAAUUAUUGUUACCAGAAUGCAGUGCUAAGGCCGGCGCCCUCUAGUUGCCUUGGGUUAUCUCUCUGAUGUAGCGAUAGUUACGGUAUGCCACACCCGACAUUUCUGGUGCCAUUGCUAAGGAUGGAUCUAUGGUCUAUUUUUAGUAGUGACGCUAAGAAAUGCCAACAGUCAUCAUGUAUGCUCAUAUCGUACAAAUACUUUUAUAUGUGAAUUGAUUGAUCACCACUAUCCCGUCUCAAAUGGACUUUUUAGUGAAUGAAUCUUAGCCUUUUUAAUGAGUCAUCAUAUCAUGCUCGUAUCGUACAAAUACUUUUAUAGGUGAAUUGAUUGAUCACCAUUAUCCCCAUUACAACGGCUACUAUAUCUCAGGCCGCCUAUAAAUAUGCAGUGGUGAAUAUUUUGCUACCCACUUCAAACAAGUAUUUGGUUUUGUUGGAGUAGAAAUGUCUGUCGGGUCGUCUAGAGUAACGGGAUCAGGGGGUGGGAAAGAAAAAGGGGGGAUGAGGGAAACUCCAGUUAUGUGGGAGGGUUCUCGUGGUCCCGAGAUCGUUGAGGAAGCACUUUAUGAGAGGUUCCCAAUUGAGAGCAAAAGUGAAUUCACCAAAGAAGCACCACUGAGAGGAUAUAAUGACCGCAAAGAAGAGUGGCCAAAAUGCAUGCACGGUGAGGACUGCUUAGUGCAAAUGUACACUGGGGAAUAGAUGGAGGUCGUUGUUUCUUCAAAUGCCCAUGAGCAUGGGUAAAUGAAAUUAAUAUUUUUUGCUUUAUAAUGUUACCCUUUUGGACUAGAACUUAUACAACAUACUUAUUGUAGGCUUCCUAGUCUGAAAACUAUGGGUUUGAUCUAUUCAUCGCAUGCGGAGUACAUCUACUACCUGCAGGACCGUAUCUUUGAUUUAGAAAGGAAAGUUAGCAGUAGUUACAAGGAUGAAGAAGAGGAUGACAACAACAAUGGUGCCGAUUUAUAGGAUGCACUUUGCAAUGAUCCAUAUUGCACCUACCCUAAUCACAAGAAGGGUCCUCCUCCACCACCGCCACCCCACCACCAACAAUGGGAGGAUACUGUGGAGAAGGUGCGACAUAGUAUGCUAUGUGGCCACACUACUAGGUCAAAUCAAACUCAUUCACAGGCCACUUCUGUAUGUUUGUUGUUUGGUUAAACUACCUAAGGCAUGAUUGGGUUAGUCAAAAGAGCUAUGUACCCUUGUUUGGUACAUGUUCUCACAUGCCAUUUCAUGUGCUUGUUGUUGGCUUCAAUUACCUAAGGCAUGUUAGGUUUAGUCCAAGACCUCUGUACCCUUGUUUGGUACAUGUUUUGACAUGCCAUUUCAUAUGUUUUGUGCUAUGUGUAAUGUAGUCUGUUAGUUCGUAACAUUUCAUUUGCAUUACUUCAUUGCCUCUGCAAUAUUCGACUAAAUAUAAUGACAACUAAUAAUGAAACCAUACACACAAUGUGACAGGUCCAAUAACAUUUAAAAUACAUGACAACAAACUAAAUAACCCAUUCUUAAAGUGCAUUACAUGAUAACUGUAACACCCAAAAAUUUACAAAUUUUGAAAUAGGUGGAAAUGAUUUAAUUCUGUAUUUUUGUGUUCAUGGAAUAUAGAGAAAUAAUAUUUUUCAUCGAAUUAAAAUUUAUUAUAGGAUUUAGCAACUUGUUUGUGCAUUCAUUUUUGGGACAUUUGUUUUAUUGUUUGGUGUGGAUUUAACUAAAGAUCAAAACAUUUCGAACAGAUUUAAAAAGGAUUUUGAAAUGAGUUUGAAAUGGAUUUUAUAUAAAUGAAAACAAAACAAAAGAAAAAAAAGAGAAAAAAGGGAAACAUCUCCCUCCAUUUGUUUUUGGCUCGAGAGGCCCAACCAAAUUCCCUCGUCCCUCCUCUUCCCGUGCCCCCGCGCUCGGCCCAGUUUCCCGGCGGCCCAACUCCUCCCCAGCAGCGCGCUGACCUCCCCUCUCCCUUGACCUGCUGACAACCGGACCCCGCUCUCUCUCUCACUGACGAAUAGGUCCCACGCGAUAGCGUCCCUUUCCCCCUUUCCUUCUUCUCCCUCGCGUAGCCAAGCCGGAGACGAACUCCAUGGCAACCGAAUCCCAGUUUUCACGGCCAAUGUAGGAAAUUUCCAAUCCAAGCCUUUAUAAAGCCUUGUGCUUCAUCUGUGCUCUCCUGUUUGCAUCAUCAUGCGGCUGCGUUGCCCUAAUCAUCCUCCCAUCGCCUCUUGAAUCUCGCCGAAAAGCUUGCAGAGCCGCCGCAGUGGAGCCCCCAAUUCACUGCCGUGUCGGCAAAUUGAAGUAGGGUACGAGCUCUACAACGCUUCUACGAGGUCACCGAGCCCUCUCCUCCUUUAUCUUGUGCUCUCGUUUGCCCGCUGACCCUCGCUGAUCUUUACAGGACGCAAAGCUACGUCGCGACGUGUUGCGGCCCUCUUCCGAGCUCCUUCCCGACCCCAAAAAGCACUUGAGUGAGUUCGUGAAGCCCCCCUCUUUCUCCCGGUGAUUUUAUCUCGUUUUUAGAUGGCCGAAAUGGCUUAAACAUUGAAGCUCCGGAGAGCUCUGAACCCCCGGCCAUGGCGCGCCGCCGCGGGAGGCCCUGCUCCGGCCGGUGGUCUUCCCAGAUCUAAUCUGAGCCAUCCGAUCGAGAUCAUGUGGCCUAGAAUAGAAGUUACCCCCUUCAGGGUAACAUUUUCUAAAGAGACCUCGAGCUUCUGUUAAACAGUACCUGCAGUCCUUAGGCGUAAUUCAGAAAUACGUUUCCACCAUUUGAAAACGUAAAGUAUACCAGGUUAAUUCAAAAUACGCUUUCUAGUAUUUACAAGUUUGCCACUAAAACAGUUUUAGCCAUAAAAUCUUUGUUUUAAAUCCGUUUCGACCCAUUCAAAUUGCGUUGGAUUCGUAUUAGUGAGCUCUACAUGUUAGAAACACUGUUUUCUCAGUUUGAAACUUUUUAAUUUCAUGACUCUAUUUAAUUAAUUACUUUUCUAUAUAAAAUCUUAGAAAAUUCAUAUCUUCUACGUUUUAACUCCGAUUUUCGUGAUCUUUACGUCUAUGAAAUCGUAGCGAUGCGUAGAAUCAUUUUAUAAACUUCUAAUAUUGUUUUUAUAUGAUUGGAGUACUGUUCUAAUUGUAGCUUUGUUUGCUUAGUGUAUGUUUGUUGCCGUAUGUUUGUGAUCGAUGAUCGGAAUUAGUCGAUGAGCAAUUCGUGGUGAUUAAGAGUGCUUCAGUGAUCAAGAUCAGAGCCUUGGCAACUAGUAAGACCAGCAGGAUCAACAAGAGCAUUUGGAUCAAGGCAAGUAUAGCAUUUGGAUUUUAUUUCUGUGACCAUGAUCGUGUGACUAGAUUAAUCUUAAGUAAUAAACGAUAAAAAUGACUUUUUAGCAACUUGAUGAUUUAUCUGUACGUGAUCACCCGGGACAACAGUGCAACCAUGAGGGCUAUAAUGGCUCUGGCUUUAGUUAAGUAUGAGUAUGAGUAACUUUUCUAGCUCGUUAGCGGUUACCCGAUGUGGCGCAAUUAGGGAAUAGCAGACCGUGGAUUCCUGCGGGUGAAUCACACGGACUGACUAAUGAAACCAAGCGGCCCUAACUUGUUAGACGAACCUUUGAAAGACUUCAUAGUGAUCCCUGCUGACCUCCCUAGGAAGGGGGUUAAGAGAUUAGCUACCUCGGGCGAAAGGGUAAAUCAUGACUCAUGAGUAAAGAUGUGCAACCUCUGCAGAGGGUUAAAAACUAGUAUACUAGCCGAGCUCACGGUCAGGAGCGGCCUUGGAGACAUCUACACUAAGGGUGAUGAAUCUUGUGUGUUAAAUAUGCUCAUUGUUUAUUAUUUAAUGUUUUACAUAAUUUAUGUCACAUUGAUUAUGAGAUUGUGGGAGCUAUACAAUCUAGUUGCUAUACUUGUGGAGUUCGACAUGGACUCACUCUUGCUAUUUCUCCCACCCUUCAGGAGAAGUUUAGGCUUGUGAUCAACCAGUUAGUUGGAUCCUGUAGAGUGAAGUUAAUACUCGAAGUUGGAGUUGUCUAUCCGCUGUUUGAUACUAAAGGUUAUCUCUUUUAUACUAAGUACAUUAUAUGUUUACACAUUGUCUUUUGAUAUUACCCCUUAUUUGUAGCUAUAUGUGAGAUUUGGCUUUUAAAACUCGCAUAUGGUGCAUAUCUGGUUUUGUCCUUAAAAUCGGGUAUUACAAUAACACAUUGCAAAGUCUAACACUAAACAACAUUGUUCAUAAAACAAACAUAGAACUAGCAGGUCAUGUAAACUACUGAGUCUAACAAGGCCACUUUCCCUUCCUCUGCACAUCAGGAUUCUCCUCCAUUGCUGCCUUCGCUCAGCGCACACGCUCAAGCUUCUUUUCCCUCUCCUCCCUGUAUACAGCAACAUGUCUCCUUUUCUCCUCUUCCUUGUGCUCCUUCUGUAGAGCCUCCUCUCUGCGUCUCUUCUCUAAUAUCUCUGCACGCUCCGCGUCCCACUCUUUGUCACACCCGGUUUUAAAGAACAAAACCAGGCUAGCCAUAUGUGUGCCUAGGAAGUCCACACAUACAACAACAGAAGCAAUAGUAUCAAAAACAAUGUUAUAUAGCGGAAGCAUACUUAUAAUUAUCAUUUACAUCAGAGUAUCGUGGAAGGGUAACUAAUCUUCAGGCUCAAUCUUCACUGGGACGGUUGACUGGGGUAACAUAUGCCUGACACUUAUUGUAUCCUGAGAACGUCCUUCGUAACUCCUUCGCUCCUCUCAUAACUCUUACUAGUAAACUGGAGUGGUGGGAAAUAGUAAGAGUGAGCACAUGUCGUACUCAACAAGUAUAACCAGGGGUUCAUGAGGCUCAAAUAGCUGACACUGGUUUGACUGCAUUUAGCUUUUAUAUGUAGAUAUCAUGUUUAUAUUUAGAUAGCCAAUAUCAAGGUAGCAUAGUAAAUCCCAUAACCACAUAAUCAAUGUAUACAAGAAUUAAGAAUAACACAUAUAAACAAUAUAAUAAACCAUCAUCUAUCAUCAUUAAUCAUGUUCAUCAGUGUCCAUCUAUUCCGUCAGUUUUCCGGGCCGCCUGUAUCCGUGGGCACGACUAGUAUACCAGAUUUAACACUCUGUAGAGGUUAUACAUCUUUACCCAUGAGUCAUGAUUUACCCUUUCGUCCGAGGUGAUCAGCCUCUUAACCCACUUCCAAGGAAGGUCGGCAGGGAUCACGAUGAAGCCUUUCAAAAGUUCGUCUAACAUGUUAGGGCCGCAAGGUUUCCUUGGCGAGCAGAUAUAGAUACCCCCUUCCGAAUGGCACAAUGACGCGCAUCCUAUACACAUAGGGACAGGGGCUCGCACUAUACCCAUGUCGGUUCAGCCCCUCUAGCGCCCUUUCGGGGAACCUCUAACAAGCUAUUAAAGGUCUUCAUACUGAGCUAAAGCCAGAGCUAUAUGGCCCUCAUGGUUGUACGAGUUGUCCCAACUUUUGCCAAGGGAUAAGUCCUUAUGGAGGGUCAAGAUCAAUCUAGCAAAAGCUAGAGUUCUUUCCACCCUUUAUGUUCAAGUUGCUAGAAAUCUUAUUUUAUUGUUUAUUGCAUAUUCAAAUAUUCAAGUUAUAGGAUCAUGGAUUAAUAAUCAAGCACUAGCAAGAACUACCUAAAUGCAUAUCCAAUUAGGUAACAAGGAAUUCAGAUAACAAGCAUCUAUGAUUUUGCUAAGGUCGACAAGGUGGACACAUGCAUAUGAUAUAUGUAUAAUUAUAAGUGUAUAGGUAACAAGGAUAGUCCCAAGUUAUACUUGCCUUGAUCAAAGCUCAGUUCUCACACCUUCGGCUUUCAGUCAUCACCUUCUGAUCUUCAGCGCCCACAAGCGGUUCUCGUCUAUUCGUAUCAAGCACCACACAUACAAACAUACAAGCAACAAAUAAAAGCAACGAAGAACAAUACACCACACGAGAGAAAAGAGCGUACUAAAAGAGAAUCAGCGCUAGAAAAUCGCAAAAACCACCAAAACUGAACCUAUCAUUAAAAGAAAUGACUAACGAUAGUAUUAUAUUAUAAAAGAGAAGCUUACAUAUUUAAUUUAUUUAACUAUUUAAGUAAACAAAAUAAUAUAAAAGUUAUUAAUUCAGAUUAAUGUUAACAUAAAUUAUUUUUAAAAGUCAAGUUAAAACUAAUCAUGUUUUAUUUAUAAAUAUUUAGAUAUCAUUUAUGCCAAAUCCACACUAACAUGUAAAUACAAACUGUCAUAUGAGAGCAUCUAAAAUCUAAUCAAUUUUAACAUACAUGUUUGGACUAAAUAAAUUAUAAUUUAGAAACAUGAUUAUGUAUAGCAUUUAAUCAGGUUAACAUUUAUAUAUGAAAUACAUAAAUAUAAAACCUAUUAUGCUUUUAAUUAGAAAUACAAUUGCGUAAGCAUAAAUACUUAUGAAACUGAAUGAUGUGAGACAUGUUAAACAUCACCGCUAACACGUAGUUUCAGUCGACACAAUUGCAUGCAACGAGAGCCGGUUUAUAACCCUAGAUUAAUUUUUAAUUAGAAAGCUAUUUAAUAAAUAUUAAUCUAAUUAGUAUUUUGAUUAAUAACCUAUAAUCAAAUGUAAUGAUAAAUUUUAACACUACCGUGUAGAGCGCAUCGAUAUAAAUUCAAUAUAAUUUGAAUGGACCAAAUCGGAAUUAAAACGUUAACGCGACAGAAUUUACAAACCAGUGGUAAAGCAGUAAAUAUCUCGUCGUCUUCCUUUGAACAGAACGUGCAGAACACGAACACCCGUGGCCUCCAUGACCAUCGUCCAUUGAAGCUCAGCGGAGACCCUUGGCCAGGGGAGAAGAACGACUAGCUGGGGUGCCACGGCCGCUGAUCCUUGGUCAGUUGGCCUGCCGAUAGCUUGGUCCGCACCGGCCGGGGCUAGGCCCACGCAUGGAAGUUCGGCGCCGGUCUGCGGCAAGGCUAUCGCACAGGGCAGCGAUGGCUUCCUCCCCCUGUGCACGAAUGGAGGGACCGAAGACGGAACUAGCAGGCUCAAGGAUGUGGCCGCCUGGCCGGCAGAUGCCAGACAGCAAUACAAUUCGGAGAACAAUUAACUUCACGAUCGUUAAUGGUGGUUCGCCGGAAAAGAGAAAGAUGGGUUAGGAACAAUCAAACGGGAAUGAAUUUGCAAAAUAAAUAGCGUGCCUGUGUAGAGAACGUCGAGACGAACCUUGGGGUAGAAGCAGAAUUCGCCGAAGAUGAAAAACAUGGCCGAAAAAGCACGCCGAAGGUUCGCCGGAAGUUCUAGGUUUCGAAACUUCGGCUUUAGAUCUAGGAUGAUAGGAGCGACAACUCGGAAAAGCGGCCGUACUUUCAGAAUCAGCGCGUCGAGAGCUACGCCGGCAUAUAUAUAGUGUUAGGGUUCAAGGUUGGUAUAAAAAUGAGAUAUUUUAUUAUUUUCGGAUUUAAUUAAUUUCGUGAAAAAAAAUAAUUCUACAAAAUCUAGAAUUGAUAUUUAACCUACGAAAAAUACUCUUAAUGCUCCAAAAAUUUAGGGAAAAUUCUUAGAGACACUUUAGAAUAUGAGGAAUCUAAAUAAAGUAUUUGGAGCUCAUGAUAAGAUAAUUGGAGAAUUGGAGCUCAUGAUAAGAUAAUUGGAGAAUCUAAAAAUUAGAUUAUGCUCAUAGAAAAGUGGAAAAGAAUUUAAGAAAAAGCUGGAAAACUCUAAAGAAAUUUUAAUAGAUUGAUUGAUGAAAGAUAUACCCAAAAGAUUGAUUUAGAGAAGAAUAAAGGGAUAUGAAAAACUCUAAAUAAAAAGGUUAAGAUCAAGAAAGAGGAAACUUGAUUAUAGAAAAGGACAAAGUCAUGUCGGAUAAAAAAACAACGACUUACUAACGCAGUCUAAAUUUUAGCCAAACACAAAGCCAAGCAGCAAACAAGCAUCACACCACAUCAACAAAAGCCCAUCAAAUUAAUUUAGAAAAUUUUAAAGAAUGAUAUAUUUCCUAUAACUAAUUGAUGCUAUUUUAAACUCACAUUAGAAGUUUUAUCCAAAUAUCAAAAAUAUUUAUUUUAAUUAGUAUUUUCUAUGCACAACCCAAAAUCAAAAAAAAUUGGGGUGUGACACUCUUUCAGGCCUUGUAGAAGCCGCUUGUCCGACUCCUGAAUCUCUGUCUCGAUCCAUGGCUCAAAAUCGCACAAGGGGUCUACAACAAAGAUAUUUGUUAUAAAACAAAUAAAUCAUGCUUCAUAUGACAAAAUACUCAAUGCACAAUAAAAAUUUUUCUCACAAUAAAGUUACUACGGUGCUAUUGCGGUGUUGGCUUCCAUGCAAAAUUGGAACACAUCCAAUACCUCUGCUUAUAAGUUUCCUCAUCUUCAGAAAUUUCUACCUUACAAGGAUCACCACAAAAGCACAUGGGUCUUGGAACACCACUAGAGAGAGGCUUUAGCUCGUAAGGACUUCCGAUGGUCUGACCAUAGCUACAAUUGAAAUAAUUUACUUCUAUUAUCUGAACACGAAACAUUAAAGCAUAAACCUAGGGUUUACAACAUAAUGCACAACAAUGAACGCAUACCUUGGUUUCCUAGUCUUUCCAUGCCUAGGCAUCCUACGGGUGCGCAUUACAUAUUAAAUUAACAUUAAAACCAUAGUGACAAUUCAAAUGUUCUAAAAUACAACUAAUACAUACCAAAAUUAUGUGUUUCGCAUUAUUUCGGUACGUGUUAGUUGUAUUUUAGAACAUUUGAAUUGUCACUAUGGUUGGGAGAGAGGGUACGUUGCUCUCGAAGAUCUAUGGAUCAAAUCCAAGUUUACGGGUGAAAAUAUGGAUUCAUGAGGUAGGGUGUAGUGGUGAGAGUGAAAACACAAGAUAAAGGAGGAAGAAAAGAAAGAAACCUUAGGGAGAAAGAGGGGCUACCAAUUCAUUUAAACAGGGGUUUAGAGCCACGAUGCAUGGCGCCAACCUUGACACCACCCAUCAUGGCGCCAAGGGGCCCCUCCAUGUUAGCCACAACUUCCACAUAGACGGGGGCUUGGCGCCAUUGCCAUUGGCGCCAAGCUGUGUUGGCUUGGCAUCAUUGUCCAUGGCGCCAAGCCCUGAGUCCAUAUUUCGAAAUAAAACUACCAGGAACAUAUUUAUGAGAUUUUUUUUGAAAAAAGGCUAAAAACAAAAAAGAUGGUAUUAUACGGUUAAAUGACUUAAAGAGAGCAACGAAAACCAAUUGACGACCUCAUAUUAUGGUAUAUAUAAACCACCAGAAUUUUUAUAAUAAGCUUGUAUACGCAUAAACGGUCAAAGAACAUGUUUGAUGGGUAGUAAGGCUCUUUUAUGAUGGCUGAUGGGUCACACGGAAUUAUCUAUUAGGCCAAUCUUAAUAAGGAUAUCAUGGAGAUUUCAUGCAUAUUAAAUGGAGUGACAUGUCAGAAAAAAAAUAUUUUGAAUGUAUCAAGGAAGAGAGUGAGGAUUGGAGUUUUAUGGUCAUAAGGUCAGUCUCAAUGCAUGUUUCAUGAGAGUGUUAUGCACAUUAAAUAGGGUGUCAUACAAGCAAAAUUGCUGAUUUGACAGGGUCAUUAAAUGAAGGAGUUUCAUCCCCAUGAAACUCCACAGGCUCCGUUACCUAGUUUAUAGUUUUAGUAACUGUACCAUGAAACUAUGUAUUGAGAUUGGCCUAAGAUGAGCCAGCGUUGUUUCCCAUGUUUUGGAAAACACACGAAUUGCACUAAGCCGUUUCAUGCGGUCUAGUGUGGUCUGUGUCCAGCUGCGGGAUCGUGCAUUCACCCUCUCAUUAAAAAGCCACUGCAUCAGGCGUGAGCUCUCUUUCCUCUUUCUGUCUUGCGUCUGCUCCCUUUUCUCUAUUCCAUCAAAUCUUUGUGCCCCACAUGCUCUGAAGGAUCAUAAGGAUGCUACGCUAGCUAGAAAAUAAAAAUUUCGACCUCAUAAAAUAGGAUCAACUGCCAGUUAUAGAUCACGAGAUUACCACUAGACGCGCAGGUGCAACGGAAGCGACUCGGUGUAGUCGUGCGCAUAGUAGCAGUGCCGUGCAGUUGCAUGGUCGUCCACCACAUCAAUCCCUCUCAUGUGGUUCGUCCUUGUGCUCUAGAUGCAGCACCUCCGAGGUAUCCCACACAUGCGGGGAAGAAGUAUCACGCCUCCGGAUUGCUAGGUCCGUGAAGAGCAAUUGGCACGAGCGUGGGUGAGCGGCGGCGGCUGCCUAAUGGCAUGAGUUAACCCUGGCUGUGCCCCCUCCCUCUCUUAUAUAGGCAUCCCCUAAUCAGCCCCGAGCUGGAGGCCUAAUUAGAAAACCUUAAGCCUUGUCUAAUUUGGGUCCAACCCGAAUUAGGCUUCUAGCGCCUUAAGCGUGCGACCCUAUGGUUCACGUACAUAUGGACUUGGGCCGAGUACUCCUUACUCGCCCAAUAGUUGACAGUGGCCUCUAGCAAGGCGUGACAACUCCUAUACGCAUGCAAAGAUCAUAUCAGACGAACCACUGCAAACACAUACAUAUUAUUCCCUUGCCUCACGAUAUUUGGUCCAAUUCAUGGGGUUAACACUUAACCGAAUAAGCAAGGCCAUGCAUUAUUUGUUGAUCCAAUUACUUGAGAGAUCCAGUUAUAUCUCUCUUACAUAGAGAGGGGCAAGUUCCAUCUUCAUUAUCUAUGUCUCACAACAUGUUUCCCGACAAACCCAAAGACCACCUUUAUAACCACCCUGUUAUGGAGUAGCAUUUAGUAGUCUCUAAGUAGGUCGUUUCACAUCUCGAGAACAUACGACAAUCUCAGGUCUAAGGACAUAACGUACAUGAUGCAUAAAGAGAUAAUAAGAACAUCUCACAUUAGGUCAGUCCAGCCACAUGUCAUACAUGUGUCAAUAUUAUUAGUUUGACAUCUCUAUGUCUAUGACUUGUGAAAUAUAGUCAUCAACUAAUACAUGUGCUAAUCUAAUAUUCAUGUGUGUCCUCACACGAACUCUGAUCAAGGACAACUUUAGAAUAACCUGUUGACACCGUUUUUUGACACAUAUCUAGAAAGCUGAUAGAACUUGGAUCGGCAGGCGAAAAAGUGAUGACCGGUUGACAGAGGAGUUGUCGAUGGGUUAUGAUUAUUUAUGUGUGUCCUCACACGAAAUUAUUGAUUAUUUAAAGGAUCCAUCCAUGAAAGUUGAAAGGCGUGUUAGGUUUCAAGCUGCAAAAUAUGUACUCCUUGAAGAAGAGUUAUACUACCGAACGAUAGAUAGAGUCUUGCUUAAGUGCUUAAGUGUGUAGGGCACAUUAAUCGGCUUUCAAGAUGAAAUGGAUGAUUAGGAGAAACGAGUAUUAUUGGCCGACUAUACUUGAAGAUUGCUUUAAAUAUUUCAAGGGAUGUCAAGGAUGUCAGAAGUUUGGCAAUAUUCAAAGAGUGCCCACAUCGGCCAUGAAUCCUAUUAUUAAACCUUGGCCGUUCCGGGGAUGGGCUAUUGAUCUCCUCGGUUAAAUUUAUCCACCAUCAAGCAAAGGGCAUAAGUUUAUCUUAGUCGCCACUGAUUAUUUCACUAAAUGGGUUGAGGCUAAUCCCUUGAAGAAAGUGACAUCAGCCAAUAUGAUCGAUUUUGUAAAGGAGCAUAUUGUUUACCGAUUUGGUAUUCCCCAGACGAUUACUACCGAUCAGGGUACUAUGUUUACAUCGUGAGAGUUUGAUGAAUUUGCAAUCGGUAUGGGGAUUAAGGUGUUGAAUUCUUCUCCUUACUAUGCUCAAGCUAAUGGGCAGGCCGAAGCUUCUAAUAAGGGGAUUAUUAAGCUCAUCAAACGGAAAGUUGAAGAAAAUCCUAGGAGAUGGCACACAUUGUUAAUUGAAGCUUUGUGGUCAUAUCGGAUGACGUGUCAUGGCUCAACCAAAGUUUCACCCUAUCAAUUGGUGUAUGGGCAUGAUGCGUAUUACCAUGGGAGAUAAAGAUUGGUUCUAGGCGGAUCUUUUCUCAGGAUCAACUAAAUACCGAUGACUAUGCCACCUUGAUGAAAGACGAGUUGGAUGAUUUAGCAGGGCAUCGGUUGAGAGCUUUAAUUAGCAUAGAAGAAAAUAAAAAGAUAGUUGCUAAAUGGUAUGAUAAGAAAGUAAAGGCCAAGGGGUUUGCUGAUGGAGAUUUACUGUGGAAGCUGAUUCUACCGAUUGACACUAAAAGUUCAAAAUUUAGAAAAUGGUCUCCUAAUUGGGAGGGUCCUUAUCGAAUAAGUCGAUCUGCUCCUGGUAAUGCUUAUAUUUUAGAAACUCUCAAAGGAGUUGAAUUUCCCAGAGCAUUAAAUGGAAAAUAUUUAAAAAGAUACUAUCCUAGUAUCUGGAUUAAUGCAUAGAAGUUCAAAUGCCGAUAACAAACCUAUCGGCUGGAUAAAAUGUAUCUGGAAUCAUGCAUAGUGUUUAAGUGCCGAUAACAGUCCUAUUGGCUAGACCAAAAUAAUUAGAAGUUUUGAUGGCAGAAUUGAACAAGUUGUCGAUGAAGAGCUCAUAGGUUCAGCAGAGCUUGGAUAGCUGAUAUGGCACACAGACGGAUCUGGUUGGCCUCUUCUGUUUCUCGAGUAUCUUCAUCAGCAGAACCCUCCACCGGCUUCAGCUUCUUCUUCAUAUGCAGUGCUUUGCGGGCCUAGGCAUCUCUUUCUUGCUGAAGAGUUUUGAGCACCGCGGGCAGCUGACUUUCUUCUUGUUGAGCUUGAGUCAAGGCUUCUUCCACUUGCUUGAGUUCAGCCAGCAGAGCUUCUCUUCUUGCCGAUAGGUCGGAGAUCUUUUGUUUUAGCUCAUCCCCUGAGGACUGUAGAACACCGAUACUCUUGUGUUUCUCAUCGGCAGCAUGCUUUACUUGCAUCAUUUCCUCUGCGAGUCGGGCGUGAGCAGCUCUAUCGGCAAGACGCUGAGUGGCCUUCUGAUACUGGAGCUAGCGGCUUUCCAAGUGAGCAGCUUGAAAAAGGAUCUCUUCAGCAUCGGUUGGAAUCUGACCACAAAGAGUCUUGAAUAAAGCCUUGGCCGAAGCAGAAUCAUCUACUAGCUGAGCCGUGUCUUGGUGCAGCAGAGCUAAUAGAUCUUCCAACUUGGCUUUGAUUUCUGCCGAUGAGAUUCCAACUGCCUAAGAAGAGCUAGCUUCUUCGCCUUCAUCAUCAGAAAUGUCAAUGGCAAAGGAAAAUAGGUUGUCUGGGGAAUCUUGUUCCUAGAAAAGGAAGAAUAUGAGUUAUUCAAGACUAAAUGUUGAUAAUGUAAAGUCUAAAAAUUGGAUAACUUACUUGCUUUAGGGAGAUUUCUUGCCUCUGACGAGGAGAUGCAGCUGGUGCUAUGGUUUGAUCGGCUGGGGUUGUCGAUGGAAUGACUUCAACUAAAAAGUUACAAGGAUGAUUAUGAAUUAUAAGAUAAAUUCAUCGGUAAUAAUUCUGUGAUCAGUGCUUUACCUUGAGGAGGUAUAAUGAUCGUCUGUUCUGGAGGGAUGGCCGAUGAUGUGCCCAGAUCAACCGGAUCGGCUAUCUGUUCCGAAACAUCGGCUGGUGCUUCUUGCAGUUGAGGUACUGAUCGGGGAGGAGGAGAUGUUUCUUAUGUCUGGGUUUCCGGUGGAGAAGGAGAUGAUGCUACCUGGAUCGAUGAUACUAGACGAGGUGGAAAAGAUGGUGUUGUAUUCUGACGUUUCGGCUGGGUCUUGGUGCUUUUGGGACCCUUUCUCUUGGUUGGAGCUUGAUGGGGCUGGGGGGCAUCGGCACUUGACGUUUGAGCGCUUCUGGUCUUAGCCGAUUUGCCAGUUUGCUGCUACAACAACCAAAAUUUCAUGAGUAAAAAUAUGAAAGAGUACUGAUGGAAUUCUGCUGAAGGAUAAAAAAUUACCGAUGAAGUUCCUGUUGUAGCCGAUGUACCCUGAAUAAACUGAAGUGAGUAUGGGAUGAAUUCAGUAAUAAAAAUUAUUAUUAAGAGUUUUACCUUGAAAGCCUGUGCCAAGGUAGCAGCAGCAACCGAUGGAGAUACUUUUGACCGUUUGGUGGUCGUCUUCUUGAAGCGUAUGUUCCGAUGCAUCAGGGCUGCUAGGCUUGGCGCAUUGUGGCCGAUCAGAGAAAUCGGACCUGAUGGGAGAAGUUCGAUCAGCCUUCCACUUCUGCUGAUUGCUGGUGCUAGGUUGUCGACCUGUUGAAAUAAAAAAACAAGUAAGUUGCCAAUAAGAUCAAAGGUAACAAAGGAACCAAAGUAUCGGUAAAAAGACUUACGAUGUUAUCGAGGACUUUAUAGUCAAAGUCGAUCCUACCGCGGUAUGUGUGAGCCGAUGCGCUGAACAGAUGCUCCUUCCAUUCCUCCCACCAAUGUUUAUACAGCUGAGUAAUAAAGAGAGCUGGAACCCAGGCCGAUAGAUCGAUGUCUGUUGUAUCGGCAUUUGGUUGGAGUUGAGCUAUCCUUAUCCACUCAAGUCCACUGGUUAUGGUCUCCCUUGGUUUCAGCACAUCGGCAUAACAGAGUCUGUUCGGCAGUUGGCCGAAAGCUAGUUGGCGAGCUAAUGCCGAUGGGUUGUAGAACUCAUAGGUGGGGUUGGUGUUCUUCCCGGUACCGAAGGUGUUCACUGAAAUUGCCCUCAGAGUGAUGAUUGCCAUCAUCAAGUCAUUAUCCUUGUUAAGAGUAUUGUCAAAAGGAUGGAAAGUGAGUGGGAAUCUGGUUUCUAAAUCUUCAUAAGGCAUCUAUGCUCAUUGAUAUUUGGAGAGGCCAUCAUACAAGGUCUGAAAGAAUCGGCCAAUCUGGUUUUCAUUGCAUCCGGUGCGAGGGAGAACUAUGGCAGCUUCACCAUAAUUGAGGGGUGAGCGAGUGGCCGAUUCAUCGUCGGCCAGUUCAUAAUCUUCGGCAAUGUCUUUGGGGAAUUGCUGUGCAAAGAAAUCAAACCGAACGCAUUUGUGCAUAUGAACAUUGAGCCACAUGUUGAUGAACCACCAGGGGCCUCCUAAGUUGCCGAUGGGUUCACCUAACAGGAGUUUCUCAGUCACUUGAUGGAGGAGAUGAUAGGCGGAGCCUAGUCGAUAUUGGCCAAGAGGGAAUCGGCCACCAUCGGCCAACCUUUCUGCUGCCGAUAAGUACACAGAAGUUGGCCCUACCGAUCGACCAUAGAAGAUGAAUUUAUCUAGCCACAUGUUCAGGAAAAUGGCGUGUUCCCUCUGCCCAACUAGUCUUGUUCUCUGAUACUUCUGGAUAUACCCUGACCAACCGUCGAUGUUGCGGGUUUCUACUUUGCGUUCGGCCAUGCGAUCGAACAAAUGGCCAUCAUCGGCAGUUGCAAUGUCUAAACAGAUAAGCAUGAGAACAUCGACAAGAGUGGUGGAAGCUAGGCCGUGACCAAAAAGGAAGGCAUUGAGGGUAUCUGACCAGAAGUAUGAGGAAGCUAUCAGCAGUGACUCAUUUCUCUCCAUAUCGGCAAUAGAUAACCUCAUGCAUUGAUCUAGUUUGUGUUCACCCCAAAACACUUCAUUCGUGUCGCUAACCCUCAGGAACCAAUCCUUCCAUCCCUUGGUGGAACUUGCCCGGGAUCAGAAGGCAUCUUUCCACAGAUCUAAAGAAAAGUUCUCGGCUCUAAAGGGAAUUCUAUUUGUCUCUGCAUUAAUCAGAUCGGUAGGAUCUGGAUUACCCAGUGGACUGAGGCAUUAAAGGUGAGGUUGCUCGGUAGGAAUGACGAUUUUCUCGCUCAGUUCCUAUGGUUUGAAGAUUGGAAGAACAGAGAAAAAGAAAGAAGAAAGAAAAAUGCUAAGUAAGUAAACUUGCAAAAAGUAAAGAGGUGCGGCAAAAAGAGGAAAGAUGGGAAUAGAUUAACCUUAGAGACGAUGAAGUUGGCGGCCAUUGCUUCCCGGAGGAGAAGAUCGGAGACUUGAGGAACCGUUGGGGAGGACUUUGCUGAAAUUUUCGGGCUCUUCAACAAUGCUGCCGCCGGAAUAGAUGAGUUUGGGGAAUGAAGGAUGGUAAGGUAGAGAAAGAGUACCAAGGAAGGAAGUAUUUAUAGGGUAAAAUGAGCACGGGCAUUUCUGACUUAUCUCUUUGCCGUAUCCGUGAAAUUCGAGGGUGUUCAGGUGGAUAUGGUAACUAUUCGCACGGUAAUCAAGGGAUUAUACAGGUGAUUUGACAGCAAGCGGUCUUGAUUUUAGGAGAUAUUUCACUGUGCAGAAUCUCCUGGUCGGCUCAUCGGUAGUCCACUCUAAAGGAAUAGUUGCCGAUGAGCGGAUGUUUAGGAGAUUUGGUUCGGGAGGUUGAGAAAUUUGAGGUGCCUGCUGGAAAUCCGAGUUAAGGUUGUUUGGAUUUGGUAAUUAAUUGCUGUCAGAAGGUAAUAACUACGAAAAGAGUGUCAUUACUAGGAGAGAAUUUCAGAGAAUUAAUGAUUUUAUACUCCGAAAUUGGGGGGGCAUGCGUUGACACCAUUUUUUGACACGUAUCUGGAAAACUGAUAGAACUUGGAUCGGCAGGCGAAAAAGUGAUGACCAGUUGACAGAGGAGUUGCCGAUGAUAAAGCAGCAGGAUAUGACCAAGUCCAGAAUAAUGGUUGAUCUAUGCCGAUGGCUGAUAUUAAUGGUUGCCGAUGUCGAUGGAGGAUGAUAUGCCGUUGAUAGUGGAGGAAGGCGUAGGGAUCAUCGGGAAGAUGAUGGUGGUGUGCCGAUCACCUUGGAUAGAUAAAUUAGUGAUUUCCAUAGUUAUUAGAGUUUGUUUUAUAUACGGAUUCUGUUUAAUUUGGAAUUAGAAUCCUAGUCGUACCUGGUUGUAACUCUUUAUGACAGGGAAUGAAUAUAGACCUAGUAGCGAUGUAAGAGACAACACAAUCAAUCAAACACAAGUUUUCACAUCUAUUCUAGCAUCUACUUUUCGACGACUUCGUCAACUCACAUAUUUUCUUUUUACUUACGAGUUCUUAGGAAUUCAUCAAGUCAAACUCGACGGAUUCUCAAGUUCCGCGUGAAUACCUCUUGGCCAUGGCAUCCGGGCGCAUCGCUGUUGUCGGGACCAAAGUAUUCGAGUUAUCACCUUUGUCGGUUGUAGGUCAAAUCGGUUGGCACGCCUUAACGUUGAAUCAGGAAUUAGUCCUUUAUGUUUGCAAAUCCACUUUUGCAUCAACAUAACCAUACAAGUAAAAGAGUUUCACAAACAAUUCACAUAAUUGUUAAUCGAUACAAGUUUGUCUAUAAUGGAUAUUCAUCAAACUCAUAAUAUAUGUAAUGGAUACAACUGUAAUAUCAUCAUCUCUAUGAUUACCUCUAGGGCAUAUUCCUAACAGUCUCCCACUUGCACUAGAGUUAAUCUCUAAGAUAUCUAAUACCCGUAGACCUCAAGUGUGCCUCAUGCUUAGGCUGUGGAAGAGCCUUUGUGAAAGGAUCUGCAAUAUUCAAAUUCAUAUGUAUCUUGCACAUCGUAAUUGCACCUCGCCUAACGAACUCUUGAAUGAGGUGAAACUUCCACAGCACAUGUUUGUUCUUUUGGUGAUUCCUAGGCUCCUUAGCCUACACAAUCGUCCAAUUGUUGUCACAAAGUAGAUUCAAUUGGCUUGACUCAUUUAGAAACACACCAAGUUCAAUGAGGAACCUCCUCAUCCAAACACCUUCCUUUUGUAGAUUCAGAAGCUGUGAUGUACUCGACCUUAGUUGUAGAAUCGGUCACUCUCGCAUGCUUGGAACUUUUCUAGCUGGCUGCACCACCAUUUAUUGUGAACACAAAACAUGAUUGAGAGUGCGAAUCAUCUGUGUCAGUUUGGAAGCUAGCAUCUGUGUAACUAUUUACAACGAGCUCCUUGUCACCCCAUAGAUUAGGAACACAUCUUUAGUCCUUCUCAUGUACUUAAGAAUGGUUUUAACAAGUGUCCAGUGACUUUCACCUAGACUAGCUUGGUACCUGCUCGCAACACUUAGAGCAUAUAAGACAUCUGGGCGAGUACAUAUCAUGGCAUACAUGAUCGAACCAACUGCCGAUGCAUAUAAAACCUUACUCAUGCGUUUGCGCUCUUCUUCUAAUGAAGGACACUAGUUAUUGCUAAAGCGCAUGCCAUGUGACAUAGGCAAGAACCCUCUUUUAGAUUGUUCCAUGUUGAACCAUUUUAACACCUUGUCUAUGUGUGUAUCUUGGCUUAAUCCUAUUAGCCUUUUGGACCAAUCUCUAUAGAUCUUAAUGCCCAAAAUGUAUGCUACUUCUCCUAAAUCCUUCAUAGAAAAACUAUUAUUCAGUGAAGUCUUCACUGAUUGCAAUAUUACAAUGUCAUUCCCAAUCAAUAAUAUGUCAUCCACAUAUAAGAUUAGAAAUACAACAGCGCUCCCACUUUCCUUCUUGUAAAUAGAAGGUUCUUCUUUAUUCUGACGAAAGCCAAUCCUUUGACCACUGCAUCAAAAUGAAUAUUCCAACUCCGAGAUGCUUGCUUUAAUCCAUAAAUGGAUUUCUUAAGCAUGCAUAUUUUCUAGCAUUAUUAAGAUCAACAAAACCUUCAGGUUGUAUCAUAUACACUUCCUCUUCUAGGUUUCCAGUUAGAAAGGUUGUUUUAACAUCCAUCUGCCAUAUCUCAUAAUCAAAAUACGAUUGCUAGAAUGAUCUAGAUAGAUUUAAGCAUCACUACUGGUGAGAAAGUCUCAUUGUAAACAAUUCCUUGAACUUGCCUGAAACCCUUUGUGACAAGUCAAGCUUUGUAGACAUGAACAUUUCCAUUCAUAAUCUUUUUCUUUUUAUAGAUCCAUUUGCACUCUAUGGGUCUAACCCCAUCAGGCGGAUCAACCAAGUUUCAAACUUGAUUGUCUCCCAUGGAAUCUAUCUCGGAUCUCAUGGCACUUUGCCAUUUCUUGGAAUCUAGGUCCAUCAUUGCUUUUGCAUAAUUUGCAGGUUUGUUAUCGUCUAACAAUAACAAUUUCCCAUGCAAUUCAUGAAGUCUUGCAGAUCUUCAUAGUUGUGGUGGUGUUUCUACUACCACGGGUGUCUCAACUUGUUCUGCUACAUUAGCAUCACUUGAAGAGUCAUUCCCAACUGGAUCAUCUUGAACUUCUUUAAGAUAAACUUUCUGUCCAUUUUUCUCCCUUUUGAGAAACUCUUUCUCUAAGAAAACACCGUUUCGAGUAACAAACACUUUGCCCUCUGUCUGGUUAUAGACAUAAUACCCUAAAGUUUCCUUUGGGGUAUCCCACGAAAAAACAUUUGUCCGAUUUGGGUGUUAGUUUAUCUUAUAUAAGUCGUUUGACAUAAACUUCACAACCCCAAAUUUUUAGAAAAGACAAACUAGGACACUUACUAGUCCACAUCUCAUAUGGUGUAUUAACUACAGACUUAGAUGGCACCCUAUUUAAAGUGAAAGCGGCUAUUUCUAGAGCGUAUCCCCAAAACAAUAAAGGUAGGUCCGACUUGCUCAUCAUAGAUCGAACCAUGUCCAACAAAGUUUGAUUAUGUCACUCGGACACGCUGUUCCUCUAAGGCGUUCUAGGUGGCAUAAGUUGUGGAACAAUUCCACAACUCUUUAGAUGAUUGCUAAAUUCAUGACUCAAAUAUUCGCCUCCACGAUUAGACUGCAAAGCCUUAAUUUUCUUGCCAUGUUGAUUCUCUACUUCAUUCCAAAAUUCUUUGAAAUUUUCAAAUGUUUUAGACUUAUGCUUCAUUAAGUAGACAUAUCCAUAUCUACUAAAAUCAUCAGUAAAAGUUAUGAAGUAUUGGAAUCCGCCUUUAGCUGUCGUGCUCAUUGGUCCACAUACAUCAGUAUGUACAAGUUCCAACACGUCAGACGCUCUCUCAGGAAAGCCUGUGAAAGGUGCCUUGGUCAUCUUUCCUAGUAAGCAAGACUUACAUAUCUCGUGAGCCUCUUCACAUGUCUUAACUACAGACUUAGUGAUUCAAGACCCUCGAUUGAUACUUAGUGAUUCAAGACCCACAACUAACAAGUAUACUAGUGAGCUUUAGCAUCACCACUAGUAGACAUGGUAGAUCGGUAAGCAAAUCCUUGCUGAUCAUAUCACAUGUGACUCUUGUUGUUGGGGUGGCAUCUCAAUGCUUGUGUUGCCCAACUACUUAUGCUCCGAGGUCCCUAACCGUUAGGAUGACCUUGUUUAAGUAACCAACCCUUCUGCAGUAAGUAUCUGAUACAAACCUACCUAGUUAAGGAAAAUCAGUGGCACCCUAAUUUCAUAGACCUACCACCGAUCGUACAAGACACAUAACAGUGCAAGGUUUGGGGAAGAAUGUAAUUUAAAUAUUGCUGAGGGAUCGUUCUACUUCACUACUGUGCGCAUGUAGACAAAAAUAUCAUCGCAUAUGAAAGUAGAACAUAGUAAGAACGUGUAACACCCUAAAAUUUAUAAUUUUUGAAAUAGGUGAAAUGAUUUAAUUUUGCAUUUUUGUGUUCAUGGAAUAUAGAGAAAUAAUAUUUUUUUAGUAAAUUAAAAUUUAUCAUAGGAUUAGAAAUAAGGUUGAGCAUUCAUGCUCGAAAAUUCAUUUUUAUUGUGAUGAGUGAUUUGACCAAAGAUCAAAAAUAUUUCAAACAUAAUUCAAAGUGAUUUUUAUAAUGGUUUUGAAAAUGGCUUUGCAAUUAAAGAAAUGGAAAUAGAAAAUAAAAGACAAAUCCCCUCCUCUCCCUCUUCCUGGCCUGAUGGCCCAAAUCCCCUCUCCCCACCCACGGCCCGCCAGUGCACCUCCUCUCCUUCUGCUUUCAUAGGCCGUGAAGCUCAGCCAGCCCAUGACCCGAGUGGCGCCCCACUUCCCCUCUCCGGCCCAAGCCAGCGCACCCCUCUUUUUCCCCCUUUCCCCUCCGCUCGGCCCGAUACGCAGCAGGUCAGCCCAGCCGCGCCUCCCCUUCCCUUCUUUCCACUGCCAGCUGGGCCCCGCUUGUCAGUGUCUUCCCUUUCCCUUCCUUUCUCCUUCCUCGUUUCGUUACCAAGAUGGACUCCUACCCCAACCGCGCCAUACGAUCCCAGAAACCCGAGAUUUCCUUGCAAACGUGUGGUCCAAGCUCACUAUAAAGGCCCUAAGACCCCGCCGCGACCCCCUUUUUCUUAGCGCACGCUUUAACCGAGCCCUAGCCGCUGUUUGCAGCGCGAUUUGGAUCUCACCGGGAACUAAGCUCGCCGCUGCCGUGGCUCUUGCAAUUCGCGAGUGUUCGGCCGAAAUUGAUUUGCUGCCGAGCUCCGCGUUUGGGUAACGAAGCCACCAAGACCUUCCGUUUGCUCUCUCUCACAUUCUAGGCCACGCUAACCAAUGCCGAACUUGCUCAGGAAGUCACCGUCCGCCAUCCGUGUGGUCCGCCCGACUCCAAGCUCUCCCCGGCCUUGAAAACCCUCCCAGUGAGUUCGUCUUGACCUCCUCUUGCUUCCCGUGUUUUUAAAUUGGAGUUUGGCUCUCGGUAGCAUGUUUCCCAUCAACUCCGACGAGGCCAUCAAUGGCGCCGCCACCGGAGGUCCUGUUCCGGUGACCGGCCGGCUGAGAGACCCCUCUCUCUCCCCCUGGAAUUUGAUCAGAGCCAUUGAAACACGAUCUAACGGCCAGAUUUGGAGGAUACCCCUUCGCGGGGAUUUUUAUUAAAGAGCCCCUCUACUUCUUAGAUAUAGAACCCACAUUCCAUGACGGUUUCUGAGAAUACGCUUUGUCCUUUUGAAAGCGUAAAUAACUCGUCUUGGUUUCAAAAUACGUUUUCAGUAUUUACUAAAUUGCCACUGAAAGUAUUUUGCUCAUAAAUUGGUCAUUUUAAAUCCGUUUUGAUCCAUUCAAAUUGCGUUAGGUUCGUUUUCAUGAGCUCUACAUGUUAGUAAACCUUAUUCACCAGUUUGAAACUUUUUAAUUUCGUGACCUUAAUUAAUUAAUUACUCUUCUAUGUAAAAUCUUAGAAAAUUCAUAACUCCUACGUUUUAACUCCGAUUUUCGUGAUCUUGACGUCUAUGAAAUCGUAGCGAUGCGUAAAAUCAUUUUAUAAAUUUUUCAUACUGUUUUUAUAUGAUUGCUGUACUGUUCUAAUUGUAGCCUUGUUUGCUUCGUGUAUGUUGUCUCCGAUUGUUUGUGUGUUGAUGAUCGAUGAUCGAGUUUAGUCGGUGAACAAUUCGUGGUGAACAAGAGUACUUCAGUGAUCAAGAUCUGAGCCUUGGACAACUUGUGAGACCAGCAGGAUAAGCAAGAGCAAUUGGAUUAAGGCAAGUAUAGCAUUUGGAUUUUAUUUCUGUGACCAUGAUCCUGUGACUAGAUUAAUGUUAAGUAAUAAAUGAUAAAAAUGACUUUUUAGCAACUUGAUGACUUAUCUGUAAGUGAUAACCGGGACAAUAGUGCAACCAUGAGGGCUAUAAUGGCUCUGGCUUUAGCUCAGUAUGAAGCCCUUUUCUAGCUUGUUAGAGGUUACCCGAAAGGGCGGAGGGGCUGAACUGUUUUGGGUAUAGUGUGGCCUCUAUCUGUAUGUGUAUAGGCUGCGCGUCAUUGUGCCAUCGGAAGGGGGGCUCUAUAUCUACGCGCAAAGGAAACCUUGCGGCCCUAACAUGUUAGACGAACUUUUGAAAGGCUUCAUAGCGAUCCCUACCGACCUUCCUUGGAAGUGGGUUAAGAGGCUGAUCACCUCGGGCGAAAGGGUAAAUCAUGACUCAUGGGUAAAGAUGUACAACCUCUGCAGAGUGUAGAACUGGUAUACUAGCCGUGCUCACGGUCAUGAGCGGCCUUGGGGAUUCUUGCAUCGACGAUGAUGAAUCUUGUGUGUUAAAUAUGCUCAUUGUUUAUUAUUUAUUUAAUGCUUUACAUUAUUUAUGUCACAUUGAUCAUGAGAUUGUGGGAGCUAUACAAUCUAGUUGCUAUACUUGUGGAGUUCGACAUGGACUCACUCUUGCUAUUUUCCCCCACACUUCAGGAGAUGGUUUAGGCUUGUGAUCAACCAGUUAGUUGGAUCCUGUAGAGUGAAGUUAAUACCCGAAGGUUGGAGUUGUCUAUCCGCUGUUUGCUAUCAAAGGUUAUAUCUUUUAUACUAAGUACGUUAUAUAUUUAUGCAUUGUCUUUUGAUAUUACCCCUUAUUUGUAGUUAUAUGUGGGAUUUGACUUCUAAAACUCACAUAUGGUGCAUAUCUGAUUUUGUCCUUAAAAUCGGGUAUUACAGAACGGCAUAAACACAGAUAUAACUUGGUAUAUCCCAUUAUCACUUUUGGGAUCUCCAUCUCCAUCUAUCUGUUCAUCAUGGUGAUCUCCAUCUCCAUCAUGGUGAUCUUUCAUAACAUAGUUUCCAACACAUCUAUAUUUUGGAAACAAUGAAUAAGAGUUUUAUGGGAAUGAAACUCUCUCUACUCGCAUGAAACUCUUAUCAUCUCUCUUCAUUAAUAUAGCGCCACAUCAGCAUAUUUAAUGUGCAUGAAACUCAAAUAAAACCCCAUGUCUCAAUGAAGUUUCACCAAGAGUGUCAUGCAUAUUAAAUAGUCUGCCACAUCAGCAAGAGCACACUUUUUGCAAGAAACUAGGAGGAGAGAGAAUGGAAAAGUUUCACCCUAGUGAAACGAUACAGCGUUGUUUUCAAAAUGUCAAAAAUGGUGUGAAACCCGCAUUGAGAGCCACGAUUCGUUUUAUCCCAUCGGUCUUGUUCAACACUAGCCCCGCGGACUCCGCUACACGAGCCACCUUCUACAGUCGUGCUCUACUGCGGUCGCGGUCUGUUGGCAUGUAGUCGCUGCCUCCACCACGGUGAGGCAUCGGUGGCUCCACCAGGGCCUCCUCGUCCACCCAAGGCGAGUUCACACAGAGGGCACAUGCAUGGUGAGGCAUCGGUGGCUCCACCAUGGCCUCCUCGUCCACCCAAGGCGAGUUCACACAGAGGGCACAUGCAUCCGUACACAACCGUGGAUGCAUGCCUCCUAGCGUGGCAAGCGUGAGCGCCAGGUAGGCGCCACCACAGGGCUCCUGGCCUCGAACCAAACGACAAUACGCCGCUAAAUCCCAACUCCUCGACGAUGCACGCGGUGGACCACGGGUGCUGCUCAUCAUGACGACUCGUACCUCCUCGACAACACGUGGGGCGGACCAUCGUCAUGCAGAAGAGUCAGUGUGCAACCGCCGCAAGCGGGAAGGCCAGGCGAGGGCGAGGGCGAGCUGCUGCUGGGCGCGGACAUGGGAGAGUUGUUGUUGUUGAUUUCAGGAACACAAUCACAAAUGCUAGAUGAUUAGAUUGGCUAACCUAUGAACACUGGAUCGCAAGAAUUGAACUCAGACACGUCGGGAACCGCCAAGGUGACAGCUCCCCUUUUCGCUUUCUCCAAGUUUAGAUAAAAUAGUGUUUACAACCAACACUCUGCGAUAACACACUCCCUAAACAUCCAGCCUUUUAUACCAAGGCUUACAACUCACGCUGAUAACACAGAAAACAACACCGCACAUGAUACAAACGAGGUAAAAUGUAACUGCCUGCUUGAGUGUCUGUUGGGUAUUUUAAACGCAAACAGAAAAUUCCACAAGCGCACGGAUACCGAUGUAGCUUUCACCCGGGAAUAUUCUAGAGUAUCGAUUUUCCACAAGGAACGUGAGUGUACUAAUUAAGAUUCAAGAUCGCCCAAGGAUAACUAUAUAAUUAUUUUUGGUGGGAAGAAGGGAAGUUUCCUGAGAGUUCUCUAGUUGAUCUAAGGAUCAAGAAUUACUUCAAAGAUUAUUUAUUUCGAGACAUCAGAACACUAACCACAGAAAGAGAUGAGAAGGGGGCUAGGAAGCUCUGACUACGGUCCUACAAACACCGAUCCGAACGAGGUGGAAUACGUCGACCGUUAGGGUUGUCACUACCCUAGGGCUACCACAACAAUCCGCAGGAUUGAGUGCAAUUCCAGGUAAUUGCAAGACUAAACACCACGUCUAAUCUAUUAAUUACUACUCUAGCGUUAUAAAGACUAGAGCACUUGAUGCAAGCGAGAAUCCAAUAAAUAACUUGAAUGUAAAUAAAAGUAAUUAAAGAACUCAGGAAUUAUGAAUUGAAGAACCUAGAGAACGAUGAAGAACUAACCAGUUGCUGCAAGAGUACAAUGUUGAGGAAGAUCCAACAGACCCGGCUUCUCCUCCGCUCUCCUCUUCUCUCUCCCUAUUUUCUAGAUUACAACUAGAACUAACUAGAACUAGAAUUAGAGGAACUAGAACUAGAACUAGAUAAACUAGAGGGAUCCUCUCUACUUGGAUGAAGAAUUGAAACCAUAACUUUGAUUCUGUAGAACUUUGAGUCUUUUCAGAUGAAUCUAGGCCGUCGGAUCAAACCGACAUUGAUUGAACGGUUAUCCUUGAUCCUUUAUGUCGUUGGAGCGUGAUCCGCGAAACGGGUCCAAAUUGGACACUAUAGGAGGGCGGGCGCCCUAGUCCUUAGGGCGGGAGCCCUGGGCCAGGCCCUGUUCUCCCUCUGCUUCGUUCCCGUGGCUUCUGGAGUCUUCUAGAUGAUAGAAAAUUGCGUGGUACGUUAAUAUCGCUAUGUAAACCCGACGUGUGGGCCUUUCCUCCGUAUUUCCUGAUAACCCCCUGUAGAAAUAGACAAACACCAAAACUCGUGGAAUUCUAUCAGAUAAAACCCUAAGUCUAGGUGUUAGUUGCAUUUGGAUCCUUUUCCAUGAUUAGUUGAUGGUUAAAUGUGAGCAUUAAGGACCGUCAACAAGCUCCCCCAAGCUUAACCUUUGCUCGUCCCUGAGCAAAGAUGAACUCAAGAGUUUCUGCAGUGGUUUCAUGCCUUAAAGGUACACAUGCGUUCAAACAAGAUCUCAUCUCUGGGUUAGGGUAAACUGUUAAGAUUUAAAUUUACUCAUUUUACCUUCCACCAUGGGGCUUGCAACCGUCACUUGUGUCUUGAGUAGUUAAAAGAUAGAACGGUCUAGUCAAGUGCCAUGUCUCUUGUUCUUUGAUUAACUAUAGCUCUGGAGUUUUUGAAGAUUUUCAAAUAAAACUCAGAGAUUCCUUGUAUGACUCUCUCUAGUCUCUCUUUUGUGGUAUUUUUGGAUCCUUACCAAGGCAGUAGUGGUGUAUGCCUUCUCUCAAAGUUUGUGGUAUUUUUGGUAUGAGGCAUAGUGGCAUUGCCCUCUCUCUCACCCUACUCUAAUAAGGUUUUGAUAUCUGGAGCUCAUAGGUGGGAGACAACUAAUACAUACUUACAAGACAUUUAUUGCAUAGUCAAACCAUGGAUCUAGAAGAACAAGUCAAUAAGUCAAAUCAAGAUAUGCAUGUGUGGUGAAUGAAUGGUGUAUGGUGAUGAUGGUGAUAACAAUGGUGAAAGUCUAAUUCUACUUGUGCUCUUUUGAGGGGAUACAUACCUUUCUUGCUCUUUUGAAACUUUUUGAGGAGAAUGAGAAUGAUGAUGGUGAUAACAAUGGUGAUGUAUGGUUCAUAGUCUAAUAAGCAUGUAUAUAUGGCUGUGGUAGGAAUUUAAACUCUCAUCAUACAGGAACUCAUCAUGUGAUAUUUUAAAGAUUUUUAAAGAUAAAAUUCUCCAAAAUUCUAGCAUCUCUAGGAACAGAUAAACAACAGCUCAACCUUCCCAUGUCAUAUCCGUUAACAACUUAGACUUUAGAUCAAGUAAUCUUCCCACAAGUUCAGGUUUAGAGCAAAUCUUAAUUAAUAACAGUCAUGCCUAAAUUUGAGAGAGAUUUCAAUUUUGAGAACUAGUCAUGGCAGAGCAACUAUUCAUCCUUUCCAUGUGAGAGCUUAUCACGAGGGUUCAUAGAAAAUUUUAUUUAUUUAUUUAUUUAGCAAACUAAGCAAAGAUAUAUAUAUAUAAGCAUAAAAUCUUUAUUUGGGUUUUUAUAAUUAUGCAUCUUUUUAUUAUUUGAGUAAAGUAUAAACAUGAGUAGAACACUUAGCUGGAUAAAUGGGGGUGCUCUCCCCCAAGCUGGAUUUUGACGUAAUUUCUUCUGAUAUAGCUAGCAGGUGGCGGAGGUGUAUUUGAAUGUCGGCAGUACCCUGACAGCGAUUAGGAUGUCCUCCGUCUACUAGUCUUCUUUGAUCCUUGAAUUCUGUGGAGCUCAAAUAGACAACAAAGCUUUGUGGAACUGGUUAAGUGUUAACAUAAAUAUCUAGCCUUUAUCAUGUUGAGCCUCCUCAAUAAAUGUUACUCUCUUUAGUAGGAUCAUAAAUUUAUUUUUAUAUUUUCAUUUUUAUAGGAUAGGAAUAUAUUUAUUUUAUUUUUAUGCCACCACAGUGAAUGUACUUAUGGGUUUUAUGCCAUGAGCAUACUCACAUGGGGCUUACUAUUUUUAACAUUUUUAUUUUCUUUUCAAGAUGAUAUGAGCCUGAUUAACUAAGCAAACUAUUUUAAAUAAUUGAAAGGAAAAGGAUAACUACCAAGUUUACCUCUUGGCAAGGCGUUCGGUGUUUUUAAGUCCUCCAAACGAGACUCUCCGUUUUCUCAGUCGUCCUGGGAUUUGCUGGAUGGCGUAGUCGGUGGUUCCGGCGGCGCCUUCGCUUUGUGUAUAACUAUCUUCUCUCUCCACACCUGACUCGGUGCUACGGUCUCCUCAGGACAGUUCUGUUCAAGCUGUAUGUCUUCAGACCUUACAACUUCUAUUUCGUAGUCUGCCCAUCCGUCCUUGAUGAUUUCCCUUCUCUGGUUGCGGUUGCGUCGUCUUCUUCUUGUCGUGACCUACUUAGAGUCUUCAACUAUAUAGUUAAGGUCAGUAAAAUAACGUCGUACCUUCUCAGAGGAGAAGUGCAUGUGGACUUCUCCAGUUCCAAUGUAGAUAAUUGCUUUAACGGUGCUGAGGAAUGGUCUCCCAAGGAUGAUGGGUGGAUCGUACUUGUCUUCUCCCAUGUUAAUAACCUUUCGGAAUGUCUGAUCUGCCAUCCGGUGUCGCAAAGCGUCUUCUGGAAGUUGGUUAGGAAUGGUGACUUAAGUCGACGAUCUUGACCUCCUUGAACUGCAGUGACCAUCUUAGCUGACUCAGUCUACAUUUGCUUGUUCUUGUUCCUCCUGUUGGUCCUCUUCUUAGUUCAUGUCGGGAUUGCUCUGAGACUUGUGUAGUCUUGUUCUUGAAGGAAAACAUCUCCUUCCUUCCCUUUAUGUAGAAACUGAUCUUGGCAGUACUAGCGUAGAUGUCAACUCCUGAGGUGUUCAGGAAUGGCCUCCAUAGGAUGAUGGGUGUCGUCUCAUCAGUACCAGUCUUUAUCACCACGAAGUCUGCUGGGGCGUACAAGGUACCAACUCGGACGCAGAGGUUCUUCAAUAUUCCCUCUGGGAAACUUAGCAUACGAUCUGCAAGCUACAAACACAUGGCUGUUUCUAAUAAAGGAUGUGUAAAGAAUUUUUCAUAGAGUACCCUGGGUAUAAUGUUGACGCUGGAGCCAAAGUCGCAGAGUGCUUCUGGGAAGUUCACCAUGCCGAUGGAGAUCAGGAUGACGGUGCGUCCUGGAUCGCCUCUUGACCGACAGAAGGUCAGUAAUUUCUUCCACAACGGGGUUACUCCAGUAGUUACGUCCCCAAGCAUCUCAGGGCAGUG
rnacentral:lncRNA from 1 species